GUUUGCACUCAUCGGGGAAGGGUGAGAACCUUCGACUAAGGUUCGACUCGAGCGAAAGCGAGAGAACGUUUUCACAGGCAACGGCCCGAAGGGUGAGGAGCGAAGCGACGAAUAAUCCUUCCCCCACCACCA
rnacentral:sRNA from 1 species